rnacentral:tRNA from 1 species
UCCCUGGUAGCUCAGUGGUAAAGUGUCUGCUUGCAAUGCAGGAGACUCAGGUUCCAUCCCUGGGGUGGGAA